rnacentral:tRNA from 1 species
UAACUCAGUUGGUGGAGUGCUUGCCUUGCAGGCAUAAGGCCCUGGGUUCAAUCCCCAG